rnacentral:rRNA from 1 species
UACGAAGGGGCAAGCGUUGUUCGGAAUUACUGGGCGUAAAGGGCUCGUAGGCGGCCAACUAAGUCAGACGUGAAAUCCCUCGGCUUAACCGGGGAACUGCGUCUGAUACUGGAUGGCUUGAGGUUGGGAGAGGGAUGCGGAAUUCCAGGUGUAGCGGUGAAAUGCGUAGAGAUCGUAAGGAAGACCAGUGGCGAAGGCGGGUCUCUGGACAGUUCCUGACACUGAGGCACGAAGGCCAGGGGAGCAAACGGG